rnacentral:rRNA from 1 species
GACGAACGCUGGCGGCGUGGAUUAGGCAUGCAAGUCGAACGGUAUCAUCCUUUCGGGGGUGAGAGAGUGGCGAACUGGUGAGUAACACGUAGGUUAUCUACCCUCAAGACGGGGACAACCCAGGGAACUUGGGCUAAUACCGGAUGUGAGCAACUUUUAGUUGUUUGAAAGGUGGCGUAAGCUGUCGCUUGGGGAUGAGCCUGCGUCCUAUUAGUUAGUUGGUGAGGUAACGGCUCACCUAGGCAAUGAUAGGUAGGCGGCCUUAACGGGUGGUCGCCCACACUGGGAUUGGAGAUACGGCCCAGACUCCUACGGGAGGCAGCAGUCGAGAAUAGUCUACAAUGGUCGGAAGACUGAUAGUGCGACGCCGCGUGAACGAUGAAUCCCUUCGGGGUGUAAAGUUCUUUUAUAUGUGAGCAGUGCUUCUUAUAUUAACAGUAUGGGGAAGAGAUAUUAGCAUAUGAAUAAGCAAACGGCUAAACUCCGUGCCCAGCAGCCGCGGUAAA